GUCAAACCGGCGACUGCGUUGGCGUUGCGGGCUCGGUCCGUCGGUGCCCCACAAAGGGCUACUGGCGUGUCAACCGGCCCGCCCGUCCCCUCCUUCUGGAUUCCCGUUCCUGCUAUUGAGUUAGUGGGGACGUCACAGGGGGCUCAUCGUCGUGCGGCUCAAAACCGUGCGCGGCGGUGGGUCCCUGGGGCCCAGAUCGUUUACCGUGAAAAAAUUAGAGUGUUCAAAGCAGGCAGAUCCAAUUUUCUGCCACCGAAUACAUUAGCAUGGGAUAAUGGAAUAGGACCCUGUCCUCCUAUUUUCAGUUGGUUUGAGGACUAAGGGUAAUGAAUUAUUAGGGAUAGUUGGGGGGCAUUAAUAUUUAAUUGUCAGAGGUGAAAUUCUUGGAUUUAUGAAAGAAUUAACUUCUGCGAAAGCAUCUGCCAAGGAUGUUUUCAUUAAUCAAGAACGAAAGUUAGGGGAUCGAAGACGAUCAGAUACCGUCGUAGUCUUAACCAUAAACGAUGCCGACCAGCGAUUAGGAGACGUUGAAUACAAAACACCACCAUCGGCGCGGUCGUCCUUGGCGUCGGUCCUUCACGGGGCCGGCGCGAGGGCGGCUUAGCCCGGUGGCACCGGUGAAUGACUCCCCUAGCAGCUUGUGAGAAAUCAUAAGUCUUUGGGUUCCGGGGGGAGUAUGGUCGCAAGGCUGAAACUUAAAGGAAUUGACGGAAGGGCACCACCA
rnacentral:rRNA from 1 species